AACAAGAGAGAGACCUCGCUAGACUGCUAACCUAGCCCACCGAAACUAGCCAUUCGGCUCYU
rnacentral:tRNA from 1 species